CCCGGCGUCAUUGGGGAGUAGCCGCCCGCCCGGUCCGUCCGGCGGGGAUCACGCCAACAUCCUUGGCCCGCAGGCCAUGGUGUGAUCAGCGCAGCGCCUGGCAAGACCUUUGACCAUGCAACCUCCGCAACGGCCGGGGAGGCGCAUGGUCAUGGGUAUCACACCGGCCGGGAGUU
rnacentral:sRNA from 2 species